rnacentral:tRNA from 1 species
GCUUCAGUAGCUCAGUGGUAGAGCGCAUGCCUAGUAAGCAUGAGGUCGGGAGUUCAAAUCUCUCCUGAAGCU